rnacentral:rRNA from 1 species
ACUAAACGCUGGCGGCGUGCCUAACACAUGCAAGUCGUACGAGAAAGUUGGCUUCGGCCGAUGAGUACAGUGGCGCACGGGUGAGUAACGCGUGGAUAAUCUGCCCUUAAGUGUGGAAUAACGUACCGAAAGGUGCGCUAAUACCGCAUAAUGCCUGGCAACAUAAGUUGUCCGGCCAAAGAAGGCCUCUGCUUGCAAGCUUUCGCUAAAGGAUGAGUCCGCGUACCAUUAGCUAGUUGGUGGGGUAACGGCCUACCAAGGCGACGAUGGUUAGCUGGUCUGAGAGGAUGAUCAGCCACACUGGAACUGAGACACGGUCCAGACUCCUACGGGAGGCAGCAGUGAGGAAUAUUGCGCAAUGGGGGCAACCCGUGACGCAGCAACGCCGCGUGAGUGAGGAAGGUUUUCGGACUGUAAAGCUACUGUCGAGCGGGAAGAAGUGUACCAUGACUAAUAUCCAUGAUAUUUGACGGUACCGCUAGAA